CCUACGGGUGGCUGCAGUGGGGAAUAUUGGACAAUGGGCGAAAGCCUGAUCCAGCCAUGCCGCGUGUGUGAAGAAAGCCUUCGGGUUGUAAAGCACUUUCAGUGGGGAAGAAAGCCUUGGGGCUAAUACCCUCGAGGAAGGACAUCACCCACAGAAGAAGCACCGGCUAACUCCGUGCCAGCAGCCGCGGUAAUACGGAGGGUGCGAGCGUUAAUCGGAAUUACUGGGCGUAUAGCGCGCGUAGGCGGUCUGAUAAGCCGGUUGUGAAAGCCCCGGGCUCAACCUGGGAACGGCAUCCGGAACUGUCAGGCUAGAGUGCAGGAGAGGAAGGUAGAAUUCCCGGUGUAGCGGUGAAAUGCGUAGAGAUCGGGAGGAAUACCAGUGGCGAAGGCGGCCUUCUGGACUGACACUGACGCUGAGGUGCGAAAGCGUGGGUAGCAAACAGGAUUAGAUACCCCAGUAGUC
rnacentral:rRNA from 1 species